rnacentral:rRNA from 1 species
UACAGAGGGUGCAAGCGUUAAUCGGAAUUACUGGGCGUAAAGCGUGCGUAGACGGUUAUUUUAAGUCGGGUGUGAAAGCCCCGGGCUCAACCUGGGAAUUGCAUUCGAGACUGAAUAGCUAGGGUGCGGAAGAGGGAAGCGGAAUUUCCGGUGUAGCGGUGAAAUGCGUAGAUAUCGGAAGGAACACCAGUGGCGAAAGCGGCUUCCUGGUCCAGCACCGACGUUCAGGCACGAAAGCGUGGGGAGCAAACAGG